GACAGUUUCUUAGCAUUAGAAAUUGUAUGAUGCCACUAAGAAUGAAACAAGAGAAACAUAAUUUUUUUUCUUAGGCUAUUUUGUAUAAUUCACUACAAUAAAAACAAAAACUAACAACAAACAAUUUUUGUCGCUAAACAACAAAGAUUCGUAUUUAAACUAUUUAACGACGGACAAUUCAGUAGCUAAACAUUAAAAAUUCAUCUGACCUAAGUAAAUCCACGAACUCCAUUGGAUUAUUCCUUCUGACUAAGCAUAUGAACCAUGAAUUGUCCUAAUAAGACAAUUCAAUCAAUCUACAUUUCUAAUUCUUAAUUCUAUAAGGUUGAAUAAAAAUUCGAUUGACCAUUUGAUAUAAUUGCUAUGCUUAGUGUGUGAGCGGAUCGAGGAAUGAAGGGAGAGGAAUUAGAAUAGAAAGAAAGACGGAUUUUGAAUUAGAGUAAGGGCACGCUAAGACAUUCCUUUUCGUGCUUUCGAUCUGCUUAUUCUGUCAUUAAAUAGUAAAACACUUUUACUAACUGAAUUUUCUUAUAAUCUGUUGUUAAUUCGUAACUAAAUAGGAAUAGCAUGAGAAUUUUGUUGUUUAGCUAUGAAAUUUUAUCUAUCACUCAUUCAUUGUUUUCUAAGAGCGAAUUUUUCAGGUGAAUUUAUCGAAGAGAAAAUGAAAAAAAAAAUCAUAAUUGGAAAAUAUAAAUAAAAAACUUCCCAGAAAUUGGAUGAGUG
rnacentral:lncRNA from 1 species